rnacentral:lncRNA from 1 species
CCCAAAAUUUACAGAAAACUUCUACGUGACUGUUUCUGAAUGUCAAAUAACAGAAUAUACAAAUCUCAAUUUAAAAUGAAUUUUACACAUACAUUUUUCUUCUUAGAUACACAGAAGAAAUCAGAGAAAUUUCAGAAAACAACUGCCAAAUACUUCUCCAGUGUACCUGCUAUGCAAGAAGAUUUAUGCCAACGACUUCUUGGAACUAUCCAAGAGCAAAGGUCUUCACUGUCGGCAAGAGAAAAAAACAGAAUUUUCUUCAUGAGGGAAAAAAAUUCCCCAUCUCUUCUACAGCUACCCCUCUGUUAAGAUGGAGUGAAGAGCAACACUAUCUGCAGAUACAGUACCUGUGUUCCACAAAGAAACUUGAGUUUCAAGAUCUAGAGACCAGCAACACCAGUGGCACGGAAGAACUACAAGCUUACUGCUACGGAGCAAGUCUAGCCCGCUGCCUGGGAAGAAGUCGGCGCACAGUCAGGGAGCUUUUUAUCCCGCAGGUCCCUGCAACACCGCGAUGCGCAUGCGCCCGGAGGGCACCGAGCAGGCACCCCGAGCGCGUUCACACUCGGGCAUGCGCAGUCACCCAUCUCGCCGCAGGCGACAGCUCACUAUUUGGCAAGGGGGAUGGGGCUGGGCGGUGAUGGGGGGGCUGGAGGCAGGGGGCGCGUUUGUGUCUCCUGAAGGCUUGGGAUAGGGAAAAGGGACGGUGGACUAGGUUCUGGCAUUCGCCGGCCACGUUAUCCGAGUGUAGGAAAUGGGGCAGAGAAGACCGUGUGCGGAGGGGUAGUGGGGUCAGUCACCUCUCAACAGAGGCGCCCCCAACCCCGACAGGACAUCCUCCGCCCUCGACUCUCCGCCCCCCAACUCACCUGAGAGCGGCGGCGACAGCUGCUGGUCCCCGUCCCCCUGCGCUCGCCUCAUACUGUCCGCAACAUCCGGGACCUGCGGGACCGCCGAUACACAAAUACACACACUCGGAGCGCGCACACUCACACACAUACACACACACACACACACACACACACACCCCGACACACACCGGCCCGGCAUCC